AUGGAAACUCCACUGAGCACUCUGCUGCUGCUCCUCUGUGUGCAGCUGACCUGGUCAAAUGGACAACUGCCAGUGGAACAGAAUGCUCCUUCCCUGAAAGUCAAGGAAGGUGACAGCGUCACACUGAACUGCAGUUACAGAGACAGCCCUUCAGAUUUCUUCAGUGGUUCAGGCAGGAUCCUGAGGAAGGCCUCAUUUCCCUGAUACAAAUGCUAUCAACUGUGAGAGAGAAGAUCAGUGGAAGAUUCACAGCCAGGCUUAAAAAAGGAGACCAGCACAUUUCCCUGCACAUACAGGAUUCCCAGCUCCAUGACUCAACCACAUUCUUCUGCGCAGCAAGCACACAGUGCCCACAGUCACCUGCACCCGGUACCUAAAGCUUGCUGAGGGGCCUGGGCACACCUCCUUUUAUAAGGGCCCUGGGGCACUGACUAUAACUCUGCUGCAUACAAAGGGAAAUAUGAGGGACUGUUUUAUAACAUAAUAUCAAACAUUUCAUUUGAAGACCAUGUGAGGAAGGAUAGUGUUUUCAAAUACCAUCUAAAGUACUUUGUUUCUCAGUGUGAGGCCCUUCCUUUGUGAAAACUAGCCCAAAAACUAGAGGCUAAAUAUCAAAAAGGAGAGAGCACUAAAGAACAAAGAAAGAACAGGGUAAAAUUCUUGUCUUUGAGCUUCUUUGUAGACUUUUACAAAGAUAUAGAAAAUACAAAAUCUUGAAAGCCAUGACCAUCAAAUUCAGUAGUGAAAGGAAAAAUAUUUUGACAUGCCAAAAAGAUUGGCUUAGAAGAUCAAGUACCAAAAUCUGAGGGAAAAUUGUACAAAGCAUUUAAAGGAAAAGAGAACACAACAUGGUAGAAAAGCUGUCUUCUCCUUAAAAGGGAUAAAAUGCCAACCAGCUAGCUAGAAAGGAAGUCAAUGAUGUGAGGAGAGGUCAUAAACAGUGAGUCCAGCAUCCUGCUCUUUUCUAGGGUCAGAGCUCUGAGCAGGUAGGGUGGGAGGAGGGUGAGUCACAUUUAGCAAUGACUCUGAACUGAAGGAACAGUGAAUUUUGGCAAAAACUGUUUUGAUCAUUGUGUCUUAUAUCAAUACUCACAAGAAAACGCCCAUUACAGAGGAAGCAUUCAACAACCAUGUGGACAAGACGGUCGGUCCAAAGCAUGUCAGCCAGCCAGAGAAUGUCUGUGCUUGUCAAUUUCUUGAACAAUAGACCCAUGAAUAGAUUAGCUGAGGUGACAGAUUGAGUUUCUUUAU